rnacentral:tRNA from 1 species
GUCUCCGUAGUUCAGCUGGAUAGAACAACGGUCUUCUAAACCGUAGGUCACAGGUUCGAAUCCUGUCGGGGACG